rnacentral:rRNA from 1 species
GACGAACGCUGGCGGCGUGCCUAACACAUGCAAGUCGAACGAGUGGCGAACGGGUGAGUAACACGUGGGUGACCUGCCCUGCACUCCGGGAUAAGCCUGGGAAACUGGGUCUAAUACCGGAUAGUGUGGGAUGGGCCCGCGGCCUAUGAGCUUGUUGGUGAGGUAAUGGCUACCAAGGCGCGACGGGUAGCCGGCCUGAGAGGGUGGACGGCCACAUUGGGACUGAGACACGGCCCAGACUCCUACGGGAGGCAGCAGUAGGGAAUAUUGCACAAUGGACGAAAGCCUGAUGGAGCAACGCCGCGUGUGUGAAGAAGGCCUUCGGAUUGUAAAGUUCUUUCGGCGGGGAGGGAGGACUCAAAGAGAAAGCACCGGCUAACUCCGUGCCAGCAGCCGCGGUAAUAC